rnacentral:tRNA from 1 species
GCUGGGUUAGAGGAACGGAGCGCUCCACUGAAAAUGGAGAGGUCCCUGGUUCGAUACCAGGACCAGGCG